rnacentral:rRNA from 1 species
GUCCAGACUCCUACGGGAGGCAGCAGUGGGGGAUAUUGCACAAUGGGGGAAACCCUGAUGCAGCAACGCCGCGUGAGUGAAGAAGGUCUUCGGAUUGUAAAGCUCUGUUCUUGGUGAAGAUAAUGACGGUAGCCAAGGAGAAAGCUCCGGCUAACUACGUGCCAGCAGCCGCGGUAAUACGUAGGGAGCGAGCGUUAUCCGGAUUUAUUGGGUUUAAAGGGUGCGUAGGCGGUCCGGAAAGUCAGCGGUAAAAGCCCGGGGGCCCAACCCGGCCGGGCCGUUGAAACUGUCGGACUAGAGACGGCGAGAAGUACGCGGAAUGCGCGGUGUAGCGGUGAAAUGCAUAGAUAUCGCGCAGAACUCCGAUUGCGAAGGCAGCGUACCGGCGCCGGACUGACGCUGAGGCACGAAAGCGUGGGUAUCGAACAGGAUUAGAUACCCGUGUA